rnacentral:rRNA from 1 species
ACAGGGUCCCCCUUGUGGUCGGUGUACAGGUGGUGCAUGGCUGUCGUCAGCUCGUGUCGUGAGAUGUUGGGUUAAGUCCCGCAACGAGCGCAACCCUUGUUCUGUGUUGCCAGCAUGCCCUUCGGGGCGAUGGGGACUCACAGGAGACUGCCGGGGUCAACUCGGAGGAAGGUGGGGACGACGUCAAGUCAUCAUGCCCCUUAUGUCUUGGGCUGCACACGUGCUACAAUGGCCGGUACAAUGAGCUGCGAUACC